AGAACGAACGCUGGCGGCAUGCCUAACACAUGCAAGUCGAACGAGAAGUCCCGCAAGGGAUUGUAAAGUGGCGCACGGGUGCGUAACACGUGGGUAAUCUGCCCUCAAGUUUGGGACAACUCCUCGAAAGAGGAGCUAAUACCGAAGAGACCACAAGGACACCAGUCCAAGGGGUUAAAGGUCGGGACCGCAAGGCCGAUCGCUAGAGGUUGAGCUCGCGCACUAUCAGCUAGUUGGUGGGGUAAUGGCUCACCAAGGCUAUGACGGUUAGCUGGUCUGAGAGGAUGAUCAGCCACACUGGAACUGAGACACGGUCCAGACUCCUACGGGAGGCAGCAGUGGGGAAUCUUGCACAAUGGGCGAAAGCCUGAUGCAGCAAUGCCGCGUGAGUGAUGAAGGCCUUCGGGUUGUAAUCUCUGUCGGUUGGGAAAACGGAGUUCAUGGUUAAUAUCCAUGAGUAGUGAUGGUACCAGACAAGGAAGA
rnacentral:rRNA from 1 species